UACGGAGGGUGCGAGCGUUGUCCGGAAUCACUGGGCGUAAAGGGCGCGUAGGUGGCGCUGCAAGUCAACGGUGAAAGCUCGACGCUUAACGUCGAGUCGGCCGUCGAAACCGCAGCGCUCGAGCACUGUAGAGGCUCAUGGAAUUCCGGGUGUAGCGGUGGAAUGCGUAGAGAUCCGGAAGAACACCGGUGGCGAAGGCGGUGAGCUGGGCAGUUGCUGACACUGAUGCGCGACAGCGUGGGGAGCAAACAGG
rnacentral:rRNA from 1 species